rnacentral:rRNA from 1 species
AUGCAGCCUCGCCCGCGUCCUCUCCCGUUUCCGGUGGGGGCGCAGCACGCGGACAAGCUACGGCCUGCAGAGCCGCCGCGCCCGAGCUGGGUGAACUACGAGCGCAACCUCAAGCUGGGCGAGCACGCCCUCACCGCUGCGGCGGAGCCGGCGCGCGAACCCGCCGUACCCGCAGGCAAGAAGAUUCCGACCUUCGACGACGGCGCGGAUGCCGGGCUCGGGCGCAGCGGCCACCUCCUCCUCGACUGCAAGGAGUCGGACGACAAGACGGCGACCGUCCACGAGGCCGAGGCGGGCCCGGGCCUGGAGCCCACACAGCGGGUGGUCGCGGACGGCAGGACGACGGACACCUUCCAAGAAGCUGCGGCGGACGCGCGGACGCGGAAGGGGAGAUCGGAGGUUCUUGCGUCGCUCGAGUUCAUCCGCCGGGUGGCCGGAGAUGCGCCCGGCCUCGUAGACACGGCAAUCCGGCAGAUGGCGGCGAUCUGCGACGCAGCGAGGAGGCACCGCCCCAUCAACAACAAUCUCCCUGGUCCGCCUCCGGUUCGUCUCCUGCAGGCAGCUCUGAGUCUGUUGACCGUGAUCAAGGCCGCUCACUCUGAGUCGUUCGGCGCCUUCAAGACCGACAAGAUCGUGGACGAGCCAGCCGUCCUCUUCCGUGGUCAUCCGACAGAGGCGUUGGCGACCCAUCAGUUCUUCGCGUCCGACCGUGCCAAUGGAGCUGUGCAGAGGCUUCGCUCCGCGGUGGCCUGCGUCAUGGCGUCGGCGGACGCGGUGGGUUUGCGCGAGUUCAGCCGCCUGGCCAGGUAUGGCUUGUUCGAAGCCGUCAUGGCAAAAGCUCAAAUCGACCUAUUUCUUCACGAGCUCGACGAGGAGCUCCUCUUCGCCCGCAUUGCGUUCUGUAUUGACUGA